ACCCCCUUCGCACUUCCUAUAGUGACCUUUCUCCGUUGCUUCGUAUUUUCCAUUUCUCGCUUUAUUACAACUCUUUAACCCCAAUCAACACUUUACUCUCUCUCUCUCUCUCUCUCUUUCUGUUGCCCUCGUUUUCCCCCUUUUUCUUGCGAAAAUCUUCAACUUGUUUGACCAAAUUCACAAUCUUUUUCUUCCCUUGAUUAAUCGAAAACCUUUUUGAGUCUUUCACCAACCCUCCCCUCCCCAGUUCAUUUUUUAAGUGGAAGCUGAACUAGUCUUUUAGAUCGGAGCUACUUAGUUCCUUUGUGUAUGGUUUUGGAGCUGUGUUCAUGGCUGACACUAGGCGUUAUGGUCUUAACGCUCAAUUAGAUAUUGAGCAGAUACUAUUAGAAGCACAACAUAGAUGGCUACGCCCUGCUGAAAUUUGUGAAAUUCUUAAAAAUUACCAGAAUUUCCGGAUUGCUCCAGAGCCUCCAAACAGGCCUCCAAGUGGUUCAUUGUUUCUUUUUGAUCGGAAGGUUUUACGGUAUUUCCGCAAAGAUGGCCAUAUUUGGAGAAAGAAAAAAGAUGGAAAGACUGUGAAGGAGGCUCACGAGAGGCUCAAGGCUGGAAGCAUUGAUGUGUUACACUGCUACUAUGCCCAUGGAGAAGAAGACGAGAAUUUCCAAAGACGCAGCUAUUGGAUGCUCGAAGAGGAAAUGUCACAUAUUGUUCUUGUCCAUUACCGGGAAGUAAAGGGUAACAGGACAAACUUUAGCCGUAUCAGAGAACCUCAACAAGUUACUCCUGAUUUGCAAGAAACUGAUGAAGAUGUGCACAGCUCUGAGGUGGACAGUUCGGCGUCUACAAAAUUUUAUCCAAAUGAUUACCAAGUGAACUCACAAGUCACUGACACGACUAGCCUCAGCAGUGCGCAGGCCUCAGAAUAUGAGGAUGCUGAAUCAGUGUACAAUCAAUAUCCAACCUCUGGAUUUCACUCAUUCCUUGAUGCUCAGCCAAGUGCUGGAGAUGGACUUGCUGUACCUUAUCAUCCGAUUCCCUUCUCAGAUGAUCAAGUACAGUUUGCAGGAAGUUCUGGUAUGAAUUUCUCCUCGAUCCCACCAGGAAAUGGGAACAGAAACACAGCAAAUACGUAUAUACCCAGCAGGAACCUUGACUUCCCAUCAUGGGGGACUAUUUCAGUUAAUAAUCCUGCUGCAUAUCAGUCUCUCCAUUUUCAGCCUUCUGGCCAAUCAGGUGCAAAUAAUUUGAUGCAUGAACAAGGAAACACUACAAUGGGACAAGUAUUCUUAAAUGACUUUAAGAGACAGGAACAUGAGAACCAAGCUGAUGGUCUGGGGAACUGGCAGACUUCUGAAGUUGAUUCCUCAUUUAUAUCCAAGUGGUCCAUGGAUCAGAAGUUGAAUUCAGAUUUGGCAUCUGGUCAAACCAUUAGGUCUAGUGGUGUAUAUGGUGUAGAACAUCACAAUUCCUUGGAGGCUUCUCAGGUACUUCCUGCGCAGCAAAAUAAACACCCAAUGCAGAAUGAACUUCAAUCACAGCUAUCAGAUGCAAAUGUUGGAGCCUCUCUAAAUGCUGAUUUAGAUCACAAUCUAAGCAUAGGUGUGAAAACUGAUUAUUCAACUUUAAAACAACCUUUGUUAGAUGGCGUCUUGAAAAGAGAAGGUUUGAAGAAGCUUGAUAGCUUUGACCGGUGGAUAAGUAAGGAACUUGGAGAUGUAAGUGAGUCGCAUAUGCAACAAUCCAAUUCUAGUUCCUACUGGGAUAACGUUGGAGAUGAUGAUGGAGUCGAUAAUUCCACAAUUGCUUCCCAAGUGCAGUUAGACAACUAUGUGUUAAGUCCUUCACUCUCGCAGGAUCAAUUCUUUAGCAUUAUUGAUUUCUCACCAAACUGGGCAUUUUCUGGGUCAGAAAUUAAGGUCCUCAUCACUGGAAGGUUUUUGAAAUCCCAGCAAGAAGUGGAGAACUGUAGUUGGGCAUGCAUGUUUGGUGAGUUGGAAGUUCCAGCAGAAGUAAUAGCUGAUGGUGUUCUUCGCUGCCAUACUCCGGUUCAAAAGGCUGGAAGAGUUCCAUUCUACAUAACAUGCUCCAAUAGGUUGGCGUGUAGUGAGGUAAGAGAAUUCGAAUUUCGGGUCACUGAGGGCCAAGAUGUUGAUGUUGCAAAUCCAAAUAGUUGCAGCUCCAGUGAAAGUCUUCUUCAUAUGAGAUUCGGAAAAUUAUUAUCUCUGGAAUCCUUUGUUUCCGAAACUUCUCCACCUGUCAGUGAGGGUGAUGUUUCCCAUAUGUCCAGUAAAAUUAACUCAUUGCUAAGAGAGGAUGACAAUGAGUGGGAGGAAAUGUUUCACCUUACUAAUGAGAACAACUUUAUGGCAGAAAAAGUGAAAGACCAGCUCCUACAAAAGCUUCUAAAAGAGAAGUUGCGUGUUUGGCUCCUUCAAAAGGUUGCUGAAGGUGGGAAAGGCCCUAACAUACUGGAUGAAGGUGGUCAAGGAGUUCUACAUUUUGCAGCUGCUCUUGGUUAUGACUGGGCUGUACCACCUACUAUAGCUGCAGGCGUAAGCGUCAAUUUCCGAGAUGUGAAUGGGUGGACUGCACUCCAUUGGGCAGCAUCAUAUGGAAGAGAGCGGACAGUGGCUUUCCUCAUCUCCUUAGGUGCAGCUGCUGGAGCAUUGACAGAUCCUACUCCUAAACAUCCUUCAGGCAGAACACCUGCUGACCUAGCUUCCAGCAAUGGACAUAAAGGAAUUGCUGGUUAUUUAGCAGAGUCUUCCUUGAGCUCCCACCUUUCUUCUCUUGAGUUGAAGGAAAAGAAGCAGGGUGAGAAUGUACAAGCUUUUGGGGAAGCUGUUCAAACGGUUUCCGAAAGGACUGCUACACCAGCUUGGGAUGGUGACUGGCCACAUGGAGUCUCAUUGAAGGAUUCUCUAGCAGCUGUUCGUAAUGCUACUCAAGCAGCUGCUCGUAUUCAUCAGGUCUUCAGGGUGCAGUCAUUCCAGAGGAAGCAGCUAAAAGAAUACGGUGGCAGUGAAUUUGGACUAUCAGAUGAGCAUGCGCUCUCACUUCUCGCUAUGAAGACAAAUAGGGCUGGACAGCAUGAUGAGCCGGUGCACGCUGCUGCUGUGCGUAUACAAAAUAAAUUUCGCAGUUGGAAGGGAAGAAGAGACUUUCUUCUUAUCCGCCAACGAAUUAUUAAAAUUCAGGCUCAUGUAAGAGGACAUCAGGUAAGGAACAAAUACAAAAACAUAAUAUGGUCUGUGGGGAUCUUAGAGAAGGUGAUUUUGCGAUGGAGGCGGAAAGGAAGUGGAUUGCGUGGAUUUAAACCAGAAGCACCUACUGAAGGAAGCAACAGGCAAGACCAACCAGUGCAGGAGGAUGACUAUGAUUUCUUAAAAGAAGGCAGAAAGCAAACUGAGGAAAGGUUGCAGAAGGCUCUGGCGAGGGUAAAGUCAAUGGUUCAAUAUCCUGAGGCUAGGGACCAGUAUAGAAGGCUGCUGAAUGUUGUGUCCGACAUGCAAGAACCCAAUUCCUGCUUUUCAUGAUCUGCCCACCUUGAAUGAGAGAGAAGCUAUAAAAUUCCGGACUGUUGCUUCUUAAAACUAUGAACAUGGUCAUACCCUUAAUGGGAUCAAGGUCUUAUAAAUGUUUCAUGAUUUCCCAUCAACCAAUUCUAAAUUGAUACAUCCAGCAUUGUCAACCUUUCUUCGCAUGGCUCUACCUGGUAGAAUUGGCGUUUCACUUGAGUACUAAUGAUGGUGCACCCAGCAGCAACUCUGUGGAAGCAUCUGGUUUCAAUGAUGAUUUGAUCGAUCUGGAUGAUCUAUUGGAUGA